GAUUUUUAUUUGAUUUGAAAGUAAAAUUUCGACAACAACCCCCAGCAUUCUGUUAGAGAAAAAGUAGAUAUUACUUUUCGCGAAUUUUUUUGCAUAGACAAACAUUUAUCCUAUUGAAUUUUCUUCGAAAAAAAAAUCUUUUGCAAAGAAAUUCCGGGUAGCAUUUCCCUCAUAAUAGUUACCAAAUCGAACUAAUAAAUAUCUACAUAUAAAAUUUUAAGACUUUAAAUAACAAGAAAUGAGUUGCCUUUAAACGAGUAAUAUUAUUCAUAGUUUGCGAAAAUUCAUUACUGGCAGCCAAAAGUAACUAAAUAGGGCAUUUACGAAGAAAAGAGCAUCAGAGUAUCAAAUCUUAAAAUUUAGAAAAAAAAUUAUCAAAAAUUAUAAAAUUUUAUCACAAAAUGGCAACGCUGGUCAUAUGCAUAGAGUUGGUAUCAUUAACGAUGUUUAACUCGUGAUUAGUGUUAACCAGAGAUGGCGAAAACGGCCCUUAGAAUUGCGGAUCUAAGUUAUCAGCCGUGACCUAAUAUUGAAGAUGCUAGUGAGCUACUCGUUAUUUUAAAAACCUAUAAAAUAAACUCAGAUUCUUUUAACAACUACUGAAUAAGAAUCUCCCUUUUCUCCGCUCACAGCCGAUCUUCGAAGAAUGUUACA